rnacentral:sRNA from 1 species
CUGGGGAAGCCACUCCGGACACUGUGUUUUUUCUGGGACGUGGCUUCUGCCCAGGUUGCCAAGGUGAAUAAACACAGUCCCGGCUGGAAGUCACAGCCAGGUUGGGAUGCACACAGAUUAGCAGAUCAUCAGUGAGCACCAGAUAUGGCCGCCUUAAAAGAUGCAGACGCUGUUGGGAUCAGCAUGAAGUUUCCCUGUGAGGCUGUGGUCAGCAUGGACGUCAGCCAGCACUGCACAGACAGCUGCGACCAGGACGUCAGCCAGCACUGCGCAGACAGCUGCGACCAGGACGUCAGCCAGCACUGCGCAGACAGCUGCGACCAGGACGUCAGCCAGCACUGCGCAGACAGCUGCGACCAGAGACUGGAGGGAAAGAACCUCCUGAAAUCACCAAAGAGCAGUUCCUCAGGGCCUUCUGGGUGGCCGUGGCCGCGGAGCAGUCGUGGUGGAACCGGUCAGCUGUGGACCUGCCCUGUGAAUCGGCAGAGGGCUCUGUGGUGAGGACAGAAGCUCCAUGAACCAACCCGAGGCUGGAGCCAAGAUCCUGCCCGAUAUCCAGUUGCCUGUUUCACUUGUCGCUGUUACUGGGAGAGGGAGACAGAACCUCAUGGCGGUCUUGUCCUCACUGGAGACUCAGAAGGGGAAUCAUUGGGAAACCGUGUAUGUUUCACUUCUGGUGUAACCAGACUUUUCAGGAUGUGACUUCAGACCGAGGACACAAGUUGGGCUUGCUUAGCUGUUUUGUGUUGCAUGCAGGCCUCAGAGAUGCUCUUCCGGUCAGAGUUCCCUUGGCAGGGCCUCGGAGGCC